CUGCGGGAGGCACAAUAAGUAAGUGAUCAUUAGUUCAUUACAUUAAACGAACGAACUAUACAUGUAAAUAAAUAAAUAUGUAAAGUUACAUGGUAAAUGUGUGGCCCACCACUACUGCAGAGCACCUCAUUCUUGCCGGCACGAAAAUCUCAUUCAUGCCAGUAAACAAACUGGCACCACAAAGCCAAUGCAAAUACGAACGAUUAUACAUGCCGACAUCAUUAUUCGUACCGUGGACAAUUGCACCAGCAUGAAUAACGGAUUAUACCAACAUGUAGAAAAUUACACUGACUAAAAUAGUAAAAAUAGAAGUUUACAAAUUAAGAUAGCAAAAAUAUUUUUUUUAGACAUGAAGGCCACUCUAUUGUCACAAGUCACACGUAUUUCACGCAAGAUAUGCGUGUGUGAGGUGCCUAGCCUUCGAAUUCACAACCUCGCCUCUCGCACGAUACCUCAUUACCAUCCCACGUAUACCACAUAUCAGCACACAAAGGGAAUUUUUUCGCAUGUUGUCUAGUAUUUUGAUUAAAUAUUUGAGCAUCUAAAUGACUUCAAUAAAAAACUAUUCAACUAAGUUGUAGACCUGGUGAAACUGUACAAUUUUCAUAUAAAAUUUGUCUCUAUCUGAAUUCGAAUGCAAAAGUUACGAUUUUUUUG
rnacentral:lncRNA from 1 species